rnacentral:lncRNA from 1 species
AUGACUAAAGUUGGUGAAGGUUCAUUUAGUGAUGAUGACGAAGAAGAUGAAGAGAAGAUUGAUGAGACUGACAAAUGAUGGUCGGUGACUUAAAUUGAGGAUGGUGUUUAACCUCAUCAAUAUGGUAUUUGCGUCUUGUUCAUGACGUACACAAAAAUUGACACUCUAAACACAAGGUAACCCUUGGUGUCUAGAUUUUUAUGUUUUGGUCUACUUUUGUUUCUUCAAAAAGGAGUUAGGAUCAUGCAUGUUUUGGUUUACCUUGUUUGAAGCCGGGUAAUUACACAUUAUGUGGUCCUAAUUGUCUUUGUAGUUAUGUAUUGAAGCUUUCCAAUUAAAUAAUAAGUGUGCGAUUGAUUGUU